rnacentral:pre_miRNA from 1 species
ACAAUGAGGGAGAAGGAGAAUAGAUAUGGUUGAGUUAAUUAUAGAAAUCAUUCUGGUGAUUGGAUUUAAUCAGUGUCUUCUUGGGAAGUGCAACUAAUAAAAGUUACACUUUUUUUUCUAAUAAUUGUGGUUUUAGACUCAAUAACUGUUGUUUCUCCUCUCACCCUAUUCAU